rnacentral:rRNA from 1 species
UACAUGGGGUGCAAACGUUGCUCGGAAUUAUUGGGCGUAAAGCGCACGUAGGCGGUUCGUUAAGUCGGAUGUGAAAGCCCUCGGCUCAACUGAGGAAGUGCACCCGAAACUGGCGAGCUUGAGUACGAAAGAGGAUCGCGGAAUUCCCGGUGUAGUGGUGAAAUGCGUAGAUAUCGGGAGGAACACCAGUGGCGAAGGCGGCUAUCUGGGCUGAAACUGACGCUGAGGCGCGAAGGCUAGGGGAGCAAACAGG